AUUGAACGCUGGCGGAAUGCUUUACACAUGCAAGUCGAACGGCAGCACGGACUUCGGUCUGGUGGCGAGUGGCGAACGGGUGAGUAACAUAUCGGAACGUAUCCAAUAAUGGGGGAUAACUAAUCGAAAGGUUGGCUAAUACCGCAUACGCCCUACGGGGGAAAGCAGGGGAUCUUCGGACCUUGCGUUAAUGGAGCGGCUGAGAUCUGAUUAGCUAGUUGGUGAGGUAAAGGCUCACCAAGGCGACGAGCAGUAGCUGGUCUGAGAGGACGACCAGCCACACUGGAACUGGAACACGGUCCAGACUCCUACGGGAGGCAGCAGUGGGGAAUUUUGGACAAUGGACGCAAGCCUGAUCCAGUCAUUCCGCGUGAGUGAAGAAGGCCUUCGGGUUGUAAAGCUCUUUCGCAAGGGAAGAAAACUUACUUUCUAAUAAAGAGUGAGGUUGACGGUACCUUGAUAAGAAGCACCGGCUAACUACGUGCCAGCAGCCGCCGUAA
rnacentral:rRNA from 1 species